rnacentral:misc_RNA from 1 species
GUGAGUCAUCGAAUCUUUGAACGCACAUUGCGCCCGCCGGUAUCCCGGCGGGCAUGCCUGUCCGAGCGUCAUUGCAACCCUCAGGUCCUCGCGCCUGGUGUUGGGGCCCUGCGCGGCAGGCCCCGAAAGACAGCGGCGGGUGCGUCCCGGAACCGAACGCAGUAGUUUUCUCUCGUUUUGGACCAGGGCGCGCGCCGGCCGUAAAACGCUCCAACUUUUCUCAAGUUGACCUCGGAUCAGGUAGGAAUACCCGCUGAACUUAAGCAUAUCAAUAAGCGGAGGA